GCUAACUAGCGGGCAGCAGCGGGGGUAAGUCGUGGGGUGUAAGCGUUAACUGGGAUUACUGGGCGGAAGGCGGUUGUAUGGGGUUCUGAAAUAAAGAGGGGAAAUCCCAGGGCUCAACCUUGGAACUGAAUUGUUAUCGGCCGAGCUAGAGGAUGUGAGAGUGGGGGAGAAUUCCACGUGUAGCAGUGAAAUGCGUAGAUAUGUGGAGGAAUACCGAUGGCGAAGGGAGCCCCCUGGGAUAAUACUGACGCUCAGACACGAAAGCGUGGGGAGCAAACAGGAUUAGAUACCCUAGUAGUC
rnacentral:rRNA from 1 species